CACAAAGCUGGGUCCACAGUUAGCGCCCUGCAAAAAUAGCAAUAGUCUUAAAGUAGAGUAGAUGAUUAACUUUUCUCCCCUACAUUUCCCCCACUUCAUCAGUUCUUAGCUACACUGGCUGUUAGCCAAUUAGUUCCGUUUCCACAAGAAACCUUUAAGAAACAUUAAUGUGGUAGAUCUGAAAAGAAGGUUGUGCAGGGUAAAAAGAAAGCAACAUGAACAUCAGAAAGGAGAUUAACUACAGGAAAGAGCAGACGAAGCCAAAAGAAAAAGAAACGAAGAAAGCCAAGGGACACAGCAAAAGAGCUCUCAAAAUCAGGGGUUUUCAACCCUUUUUGGUUGGGGUAGCCCCAGCAGCUGGUUAAGAAGCAGGGAGUGCCUCAACGACCGGUGGAUGAUCUGGAGGGGGGGAAGAGGGCAAAUCCCCCAGCGAAGCAGCAAGCUCAGAAGUGCCAGCAGCAAACCAGAAAGUGCCAGCAGUUUCUACGCACCGCUGCCACAUACCCCCUGGGGCCUUCCAAAGUACCCCCAGGGGUAUGCAUACCCCCAGUUGAAAACCCCUGCUCUAUGAUACAUGGUAAAAUGGAAAAGCAAGCCAGGAAGCCAACUGGUACAUCCACAAUAUACCCAGGUAGCAUUUGAGCCAAGAACAUGGAACUUGAUUCCCCCCUUCUCCACAUUAGCCAGUCCAUUAGGAAAAGAGAGAAGAAAUCUACCCUGAUGUAG